CACACAAACCCCUCCCCUGUUUCGUUUACCAACAAAACCCCUGUUCUCUUUUACUUCGUUUUUUGUCAUUAGCUCCGAGUCAUACCGAGUCCGUUUUUCUGAGUUCCCCGAGUCGCCGAUUUGCCUGAGGAAUAUUCGGGAAUCAUGGAGUAAAGUGUACAAAUUUUGCUCGGAUUUGGAAGCUUGCUUUGGAAAUUGUAGAUAAAUAAAGAAAGAAGAGAAAAUGCAAGAAAAAGAAGAAAAGGAAAAGAAAAGAAGAAAAAAAGAGUUGGCAACUAAGGGACACAUGGAGGGCCACAAUCUUCCCAACACACAAGGCACAUGGAUGGUCAAGAUUGAGCCACCCUACCCCUAAACCCUAAUUCUUUAGUUAUAAAUACCCCUUUCCCUUUACUUGUAAUGACCAACCUAGCUACCUACCCACCUUUUCUACCUAGUCAUUUCUAUAGUUAGUAUCUUAGAUAGAUUUACAUUUUGAUAGCCCCAAUUUCCUUCCCAAGCUUGUACACACUUUUUAAUUUAUAUGAAAAUCUCU